rnacentral:rRNA from 1 species
GGCUCUUGCAUCGAUGAAGAGCGCAGUGAAAUGCGAUAUGUGGUGUGAAUUGCAGGAUCCCGUGAACCAUCGAGUUUUCGAACGCAAGUUGCGCCUGAGGUCGACUGGCCGAGGGCACGUCCGCCUGGGCGUCAUGCAUUAUGUCUCGCUUUGUCCA